GACGAACGCUGGCGGCGUGCCUAACACAUGCAAGUCGAACGGAAAGGCGCUGCUUUUGCGGGGUGCUCGAGUGGCGAACGGGUGAGUAACACGGGAGUAACCCGCCCUUGACUUUGGGAUAACUUCAGGAAACCGGGGCUAAUACCGGAUAGGAGCUCCUGCUGCAGGGGGGGGGUCGGAAAGUUUCGGCGGUUGGGGAUGGACGCGCGGCUUAUCAGCUUGUUGGUGGGGUAGUGGCUUACCAAGGCAUUGACGGGUAGCCGGCCUGGGAGGGUGACCGGCCACAUUGGGACUGAGAUACGGCCCAGACUCCUACGUGAGGCAGCAGUGGAGAAUAUUGCACAAUGGGCGGACGCCUGAUGCAGCAACGCCGCGUGCGGGAUGACGGCCUUCGGGUUGUAAACCGCUUUCGCCUGUGACGAAGCGUGAGUGACGGUAAUGGGUAAAGAAGCACCGGCUAACUACGUG
rnacentral:rRNA from 1 species